UCGGCGGACUGCUCAGUAACACGUGGAUAACGUGCCCUUAAGAGGAGGAUAAUCUCGGGAAACUGAGGAUAAUACUCCAUAGUCCAUGGAAUCUGGAAUGAUCCAUGGAUGAAAGUUCCGGCGCUUAAGGAUCGGUCUGCGGCCUAUCAGGUUGUAGUGGGUGUAACGUACCUACUAGCCGAUGACGGGUAUGGGCCUUGAGAGAGGGAGCCCAGAGUUGGAUUCUGAGACACGAAUCCAGGCCCUACGGGGCGCAGCAGUCGCGAAAACUUCACAAUGGGGGCAACCCCGAUGAGGGAAUUCCUAAUGCUAGCACAUUUGUGUUAGCUUUUCUUUAGCGUAGAUAACUAGAGGAAUAAGGGCUGGGAAAGACGGGUGCCAGCCGCCGCGGUAAUACCUGCAGCCCAAGUGGUGGUCGAGUUUAUUGAGUCUAAAACGUUCGUAGCCGGUUCGGUAAAUCUUUGGGUAAAUCGGAGGGCUUAACCUUCCGACUUCCGAGGAGACUGCCGAACUUGGGACCGGGAGAGGCUAGAGGUACUUCUGGGGUAGGGGUAAAAUCCUGUAAUCCUAGAAGGACCACCGGUGGCGAAGGCGUCUAGCUAGAACGGAUCCGACGGUGAGGGACGAAGCCCUGGGUCGCAAACGGGAUUAGAUACCCCGGUAGUCCAGGGUGUAAACGCUGCAGACUUGGUGUUGGAGGCCCUUUGGGGGCAUUCAGUGCCGGAGAGAAGUUGUUAAGUCUGCUACUUGGGGAGUACGUCCGCAAGGAUGAAACUUAAAGGAAUUGGCGGGGGAGCACCGCAACGGGAGGAGCGUGCGGUUUAAUUGGAUUCAACACCGUAAAACUCACCAGG
rnacentral:rRNA from 1 species